rnacentral:lncRNA from 1 species
CUUUCUUUUGAGAUAAUCAAUAAGGCCUAGGUUUGGUUUUCCUCAUACCCCUGUAGGCUUGACAAACACAGAGCUUCGUGAAUCUGUGAUUUGAUGUCUUUGGCCACUUUUUAAACUUCCCAACUAUCAUUUAUUUAAAUAUAUCUUCUGUACUGUUGCCUUUCCUUUUUAUCUGGGACCAAUUGAACAUACGUUGUUAUUAUUUUCUACGACACCUUGAACUCUUGUCCUUUCUCUUUCAGGAUCCUCCAUCAUUUUGUCUCACCAGGCUUAAUGCUGGGCAUUUCUUCAGACUAAUUGUUUGUUUAUAGAAUUCUCCAUCCAGAGUACAUUGAUAGACAUCAUUCCUUUCAAAGAGGACCUAGAUACCUGGGUGUUUCCCAAGGAAGUAUGAAAGCUGAUAUAAACAUGGCAUUUCUGGCAUUCAUCUUCAUGAAUCCAUGAACAAGAAGGAGAAGCAGCAAUGGAUGAUACUUAUGUACAACCCCAAAUAAGAUAGUGUUAAAAAUAAAUUCAAGAGUUAUCUGCCUCGGUCACCUAAGGGUAGGUUCAGAGAAAUGAUGUAAAGGGAUAAGAGUAGAGGAUGGCUAAAAAGCAAAGGUGAAAACUGCACCCAAGGCGAUGGAGCAACUUUCCACUGGAUGUCUCAGCUUGGCUCAAGAUGAGUGCGGGAGAUGGAGGUCGAGUCUCUGGAGACUUUAUCUGAGGGGCAAGCAGGGUCUUCAUGAGUCAUUCUGCUGUACCCUACUCUGUGUGGUAUGAGUUGGAGCCAGAAGAAAUGGAACAUCUAAAGGUAAUGCAGACUCAAGGCCCAUUGUGUGUUCACACCCAGACCUACUUCUUCUUCCUCCAGCCCCGAUUUCCCUAUCCCCACCAGACCCUCUCCAUCUCUCUCUGCA